rnacentral:rRNA from 1 species
UAAAACCAGCUCUUCAAGUGGUCGGGAUAUUUAUUGGGCUUAAAGUGUCCGUAGCUGGUACAAUAAGUUCCUGGUAAAAUCUAGUAGCUUAACUAUUAGCAUGCUAGGAAUACUGUCGUACUAGAGGGCGGGAGAGGUCUGAGGUACUUCAGGGGUAGGGGUGAAAUCCUAUAAUCCUUGAAGGACCACCAGUGGCGAAGGCGUCAGACUGGAACGCGCCUGACAGUGAGGGACGAAAGCUAGGGGAGCGAACCGGAUUAGAUACCCGGGUAGUCCUAGCCGUAAACGAUGCACACUAGGUGUUGGUAUGGCUAUGAGCCGUAUCAGUGCCGAAGGGAAACCAUUAAGUGUGCCGCCUGGGAGGUACGGUCGCAAGGCUA